rnacentral:rRNA from 1 species
GACGAACGCUGGCGGCGUGCUUAACACAUGCAAGUCGAACGGAAAGGCCCUGCUUUUGUGGGGUGCUCGAGUGGCGAACGGGUGAGUAACACGUGUGUAACCUGCCCUUGACUUUGGGAUAACUUUACGAAACUGGGGCUAAUACCGGAUAGGAGCUUCUGCUGCAUGGUGGGGGUUGGAAAGUUUCGGCGGUUGGGGAUGGACUCGCGGCUUCUCAGCUUGUUGGUGAGGUAGUGGCUUACCAAGGCUAUGAAGGGUAGCCGACCUGAGAGGGUGACCGGCCACACUGGAACUGAGACACGGUCGAGAAUGCGACGGGAGGCAGCAGUGGGGAAUCUUGCGCAAUGGGCGAGAGCCUGACGGAGCAACGCCGCGUGAGGGAUGAAGGUCUUCGGAUCGUAAAACUCUGUUAUUAGGGAAGAACAUAUGUGUAAGUAACUGUGCACAUCUUGACGGUACCGAAUCAGAAAGCCACGGCUAACUACGUG